rnacentral:rRNA from 1 species
GACGAACGCUGGCGGCGUGCCUAACACAUGCAAGUCGAGCGAUGAAAUUUUAACCGAUCUCUUCGGAGAGUAGCUAAAAUGGAUUAGCGGCGGACGGGUGAGUAACACGUUAGAAACCUGCCUUUCACAAGGGGAUAGCCUCGGGAAACCGGGAUUAUUACCCCCUGACACAUUUCCUUCGCAUGGAAGUCAUGUUAAAACUCCGGUGGGGAACGAUGGUCCAUCGCCUGAUUGGCUAGUUGGCGGGUUAACGGCCCACCAAGGCCAUGAUCAGUAACCGGCCUGAGAGGGUGAGCGGUCACAUUGGAGCUGAGACACGGUCCAAACUCCUACGGGAGGCAGCAGUGGGGAAUAGUGCACAAUGGAGGAAGCGCUGAUGCAGCGACGCCGCGUGAGCGAUGAAGGCUGUCGAGACGUAAAGCUCUGUCCUAUGGGAAGAUAAUGACGGUACCAAAGGAGGAAGCCCCGGCUAACUACGUG